rnacentral:tRNA from 1 species
GGCGACGUGGGAGAGCGGCUAUCCAGCGGCCUGCAAAGCCGUUUACACCGGUUCGAGUCCGGUCGUCGCCU